rfam:Nipponia nippon contig29136, whole genome shotgun sequence.
CCAAAGGCUCUUUUCAGAGCCACCCACACAGUCAGAAAAAGAGUUG